AUGAACGCUGGCGGCGUGCCUCAUACAUGCAAGUCGAGCGAACGGACGAGAAGCUUGCUUCUCUGAUGUUAGCGGCGGACGGGUGAGUAACACGUGGAUAACCUACCUAUAAGACUGGGAUAACUUCGGGAAACCGUAGCUAAUACCGGAUAAUAUUUUGAACCGCAUGGUUCAAAAGUGGAAGACGGUCUUGCUGUCACUUAUAGAUGGAUCCGCGCUGCAUUAGCUAGUUGGUAAGGUAACGGCUUACCAAGGCAACGAUGCAUAGCCGACCUGAGAGGGUGAUCGGCCACACUGGAACUGAGACACGGUCCAGACUCCUACGGGAGGCAGCAGUAGGGAAUCUUCCGCAAUGGGCGAAAGCCUGACGGAGCAACGCCGCGUGAGUGAUGAAGGUCUUCGGAUCGUAAAACUCUGUUAUUAGGGAAGAACAUAUGUGUAAGUAACUGUGCACAUCUAGACGGUACCUAAUCAGAAAGCCACGGCUAACUACGUG
rnacentral:rRNA from 1 species